rnacentral:rRNA from 3 species
GGUUAAGCGACUAAGCGUACACGGUGGAUGCCCUGGCAGUCAGAGGCGAUGAAGGGCGUGCUAAUCUGCGAUAAGCGCCGGUAAGGUGAUAUGAACCGUUAUAACCGGCGAUACCCGAAUGGGGAAACCCAGUGUGAUUCGUCACACUAUCAUUAACUGAAUCCAUAGGUUAAUGAGGCGAACCGGGGGAACUGAAACAUCUAAGUACCCCGAGGAAAAGAAAUCAACCGAGAUUCCCCCAGUAGCGGCGAGCGAACGGGGAGGAGCCCAGAGCCUGAAUCAGCAUGUGUGUUAGUGGAAGCGUCUGGAAAGGCGCGCGAUACAGGGUGACAGCCCCGUACACAAAAGCGCAUGUGCUGUGAGCUCGAUGAGUAGGGCGGGACACGUGGUAUCCUGUCUGAAUAUGGGGGGACCAUCCUCCAAGGCUAAAUACUCCUGACUGACCGAUAGUGAACCAGUACCGUGAGGGAAAGGCGAAAAGAACCCCGGCGAGGGGAGUGAAAAAGAACCUGAAACCGUGUACGUACAAGCAGUGGGAGCACAGGUUUACCUGUGUGACUGCGUACCUUUUGUAUAAUGGGUCAGCGACUUAUAUUCUGUAGCAAGGUUAACCGUAUAGGGGAGCCGGAGGGAAACCGAGUCUUAAUUGGGCGUUAAGUUGCAGGGUAUAGACCCGAAACCCGGUGAUCUAGCCAUGGGCAGGUUGAAGGUUGGGUAACACUAACUGGAGGACCGAACCGACUAAUGUUGAAAAAUUAGCGGAUGACCUGUGGCUGGGGGUGAAAGGCCAAUCAAACCGGGAGAUAGCUGGUUCUCCCCGAAAGCUAUUUAGGUAGCGCCUCGUGAAUUCAUCUCCGGGGGUAGAGCACUGUUUCGGCUAGGGGGCCAUCCCGGCUUACCAACCCGAUGCAAACUGCGAAUACCGGAGAAUGUUAUCACGGGAGACACACGGCGGGUGCUAACGUCCGUCGUGAAGAGGGAAACAACCCAGACCGCCAGCUAAGGUCCCAAAGUCAUGGUUAAGUGGGAAACGAUGUGGGAAGGCCCAGACAGCCAGGAUGUUGGCUUAGAAGCAGCCAUCAUUUAAAGAAAGCGUAAUAGCUCACUGGUCGAGUCGGCCUGCGCGGAAGAUGUAACGGGGCUAAACCAU